rnacentral:rRNA from 1 species
AUUGAACGCUGGCGGCAGGCCUAACACAUGCAAGUCGAGCGAGCGGCGGACGGGUGAGUAAUGUCUGGUAAACUGCCUGAUGGAGGGGGAUAACUACUGGAAACGGUAGCUAAUACCGCAUACCAUCCGAUGUUCCCAGAUGGGAUUGGCUAGUAGGUGGGGUAACGGCCCACCUAGGCGACGAUCCCUAGCUGGUCGGAGAGGAUGACCGGCAACACUGGGACUGAGACACGGUCCAGACUCCUACGGGAGGCAGCAGUGGGGAAUAUGGCACAAUGGGCGAAAGCCUGAUGCAGCCAUGCCGCGUGUGUGAAGAAGGCCUUCGGGUUGUAAAGCACUUUCAGCGGGGAGGCGUUACCCGCAGAAGAAGCACCGGCUAACUCCGUGCCAGCAGCCGCGGUAAUUC